AGUUAUGAUCUUUAAACUUAAAGAAUUUGGCGGUAUUAUAGUCUAUUUAGAGGAAUCUGUUAUGUAAUCGAUAGACCACGUUGAACCUUACUUAUAUAAUUUUUUUUGUAUAUCGUUGUUUAAGUGAAUAUUUUUAGAUUAAUUUUCUUAAUAUAUAAAUAAUUAGAAUUUCAAAUCAAGGUGCAGUAAUAUAUAAGUUGAGUAAUGGAUUACAAUAAAUUAUAUUUAAAUGAAUAAUUAUUGGAAUAAUAAUUUGAAGGUGGAUUUAAUAGUAAUCUUAUAAAGAUUAAUAAGUUGAUUAAGCUCUAUAAUAUGUACACAUCGC
rnacentral:rRNA from 1 species